CCUACGGGAGGCAGCAGUCGAGAAUCAUUCACAAUGGGGGAAACCCUGAUGGUGCGACGCCGCGUGGGGGAAUGAAGGUCUUCGGAUUGUAAACCCCUGUCAUGUGGGAGCAAAUUAAAAAGAUAGUACCACAAGAGGAAGAGACGGCUAACUCUGUGCCAGCAGCCGCGGUAAUACAGAGGUCUCAAGCGUUGUUCGGAAUCACUGGGCGUAAAGCGUGCGUAGGCUGUUUCGUAAGUCGUGUGUGAAAGGCGCGGACUCAACCCGCGGACGGCACAUGAUACUGCGAGACUAGAGUAAUGGAGGGGGAACCGGAAUUCUCGGUGUAGCAGUGAAAUGCGUAGAUAUCGAGAGGAACACUCGUGGCGAAGGCGGGUUCCUGGACAUUAACUGACGCUGAGGCACGAAGGCCAGGGGAGCGAAAGGGAUUAGAUACCCCUGUAGUC
rnacentral:rRNA from 1 species